AGAUUGAACGCUGGCGGCAUGCCUUACACAUGCAAGUCGAACGGCAGCACGGGAGCAAUCCUGGUGGCGAGUGGCGAACGGGUGAGUAAUAUAUCGGAACGUGCCCAGUCGUGGGGGAUAACGUAGAGAAAUUUACGCUAAUACCGCAUACGAUCCAAGGAUGAAAGCGGGGGACCGUAAGGCCUCGCGCGACUGGAGCGGCUGAUAUCAGAUUAGCUUGUUGGUGAGGUAAAAGCUCACCAAGGCGACGAUCUGUAGCUGGUUUGAGAGAACGACCAGCCACACUGGGACUGAGACACGGCCUAGACUCCUACGGGAGGCAGCAGUGGGGAAUUUUGGACAAGUGGGCGAAAGCCUAGAUCCAGCAAUGCCGCGUGCAGGAAGAACGGCCUUCGGGUUAGUAAACGUGUCGUUUUUAGUACGGUAACGAAACCGGUUCCUUUACGUAAAGUAAAGGGGUACUAAGUGACUAGGUAACCGUAAGAAAUAAGACACCGACUAACGUACGU
rnacentral:rRNA from 1 species